UACGUAGGGCGCAAGCGUUGUCCGGAAUUAUUGGGCGUAAAGAGCUUGUAGGCGGUCUGUCGCGUCUGCUGUGAAAAUCCGGGGCUCAACCCCGGACUUGCAGUGGGUACGGGCAGACUAGAGUGUGGUAGGGGAGACUGGAAUUCCUGGUGUAGCGGUGAAAUGCGCAGAUAUCAGGAGGAACACCGAUGGCGAAGGCAGGUCUCUGGGACGGUACUGACGCUGAGACGCGAAAGCGUGGGGAGCGAACAGG
rnacentral:rRNA from 1 species